rnacentral:misc_RNA from 1 species
GAUGAAGAACGUAGCGAAAUGCGAUACGUAAUGUGAAUUGCAGAAUUCAGUGAAUCAUCGAGUCUUUGAACGCACAUUGCGCCCCCUGGUAUUCCGGGGGGCAUGCCUGUCCGAGCGUCAUUGCUGCCCUCAAGCACGGCUUGUGUGUUGGGCCUCCGUCCUCCUCCCGGGGGACGGGCCCGAAAGGCAGCGGCGGCACCGCGUCCGGUCCUCGAGCGUAUGGGGCUUCGUCACCCGCUCUUGUAGGCCCGGCCGGCGCUUGCCGACACAUCAAUCUUUUUUCCAGGUUGACCUCGGAUCAGGUAGGGAUACCCGCUGAUCUUAAGCAUAUCAAUAAGCGGAGGA